GGCGGCAUGGCCGAGCGGUAAGGCGAGGGACUGCAAAUCCCUUUUUCCCCAGUUCAAAUCCGGGUGUCGCCU
rnacentral:tRNA from 5 species